UCUUGGUCCAAUUUGAGGAAGUAAAAGUUGUAACAAGGUUUCCGUUGGUGAACCAGCGGAGGGAUCAUUACCGAGUUUACAACUCCCAAACCCCUGUGAACAUACCACUUGUUGCCUCGGCGGAUCAGCCCGCUCCCGGUAAAACGGGACGGCCCGCCAGAGGACCCCUAAACUCUGUUUCUAUAUGUAACUUCUGAGUAAAACCAUAAAUAAAUCAAAACUUUCAACAACGGAUCUCUUGGUUCUGGCAUCGAUGAAGAACGCAGCAAAAUGCGAUAAGUAAUGUGAAUUGCAGAAUUCAGUGAAUCAUCGAAUCUUUGAACGCACAUUGCGCCCGCCAGUAUUCUGGCGGGCAUGCCUGUUCGAGCGUCAUUUCAACCCUCAAGCACAGCUUGGUGUUGGGACUCGCGUUAAUUCGCGUUCCUCAAAUUGAUUGGCGGUCACGUCGAGCUUCCAUAGCGUAGUAGUAAAACCCUCGUUACUGGUAAUCGUCGCGGCCACGCCGUUAAACCCCAACUUCUGAAUGUUGACCUCGGAUCAGGAAGUAAAUACCCGCUGAACUUAAGCAUAUCAAUAAGCGGAAGGAA
rnacentral:rRNA from 1 species